rnacentral:rRNA from 1 species
UACGUAGGGUGCGAGCGUUAAUCGGAAUUACUGGGCGUAAAGGGCGCGUAGGCGGCUUGGCAAGUGGAUGGUGAAAUCCCUCGGCUUAACCGAGGAACUGCCAUCCAGACUGCUUUGCUUGAGGCCGGGAGAGGUGAGUGGAAUUCCCAGUGUAGCGGUGAAAAUGCGUAGAUAUCUGGAGGAACACCGGUGGCGAAGGCGGCAUCCUGGACCGAUAUUGACGCUGAUGCGCGAAAGCCAGGGGAGCAAACGGG